rnacentral:rRNA from 1 species
UACGUAGGGUGCAAGCGUUGUCCGGAAUUAUUGGGCGUAAAGAGCUCGUAGGCGGCUUGUCGCGUCGGCUGUGAAAACCUGCGGCUCAACCGUGUGGUCUGCAGUCGAUACGGGCAGGCUGGAGUUCGGUAGGGGAGACUGGAAUUCCUGGUGUAGCGGUGAAAUGCGCAGAUAUCAGGAGGAACACCGGUGGCGAAGGCGGGUCUCUGGGCCGAUACUGACGCUGAGGAGCGAAAGCGUGGGGAGCGAACAGG